AACGAACGCUGGCGGCAGGCCUAACACAUGCAAGUCGAGCGAGGACUUCGGUUCUAGCGGCGGACGGGUGAGUAACGCGUGGGAAUGUGCCCUUCUCUACGGAAUAGCCCUGGAAAACUGGGAGUAAUCCCGUAUACGCCCUAUUGGGGAAAGAUUCAUCGGAGAAGGAUCAGCCCGCGUUGGAUUAGGUAGUUGGUGGGGUAAUGGCCUACCAAGCCGACGAUCCAUAGCUGGUUUGAGAGGAUGCUCAGCCACACUGGUGCUGAGACACGGCCCAGACUCCCACGGGAGGCAGCAGGAGGGAAUCUUAGACAAUGGGGGCAACCCUGAUCUAGCCAUGCCGCGUGAGGGAUGAAGGCCUUAGGGUUGUAAAGCUCUUUCAGCUGGGAAGAUAAUGACGGUACCAGCAGAAGAAGCCCCGGCUAACUCCGUG
rnacentral:rRNA from 1 species